rnacentral:rRNA from 1 species
CCUACGGGGGGCUGCAGUGGGGAAUAUUGGACAAUGGGCGAAAGCCUGAUCCAGCCAUGCCGCGUGUGUGAAGAAGGCCUUCGGGUUGUAAAGCACUUUCAGUGGGGAAGAAAGCCUUGGGGCUAAUACCCUCGAGGAAGGACAUCACCCACAGAAGAAGCACCGGCUAACUCCGUGCCAGCAGCCGCGGUAAUACGGAGGGUGCGAGCGUUAAUCGGAAUUACUGGGCGUAAAGCGCGCGUAGGCGGUCUGAUAAGUCGGUUGUGAAAGCCCCGGGCUCAACCUGGGAACGGCAUCCGGAACUGUCAGGCUAGAGUGCAGGAGAGGAAGGUAGAAUUCCCGGUGUAGCGGUGAAAUGCGUAGAGAUCGGGAGGAAUACCAGUGGCGAAGGCGGCCUUCUGGACUGACACUGACGCUGAGGUGCGAAAGCGUGGGUAGCAAACAGGAUUAGAUACCCUAGUAGUC